CCCAUUCUCAGCCCGAGGAAGAAAAGUGAAAAACAAUUCAGAGAACGAAGAAGAAGACGCUUCGAUAUCCUUCAGGAUUCCGUAGAUCUCUUUCUCAAAUCGUUUGUCUGUGAUGGCCCUGAUUAGGGUUUGAUUAUCGGAGCGGAUCCAUAGAUGAGUGACGUUAAGAGAGAUAGCUGCUUGGAGGGCAAAUCUCACCGCUAAGGCCUCUGCAGCUAAAGGCGAGGUGACGUUUUAGUGGAAGAGUGCUCCUUGUGAUUCCACCGCGUUUGGCGAUCCCGAGAUGAUCCAUGCAAGCCCUGCUGUUUGCGACUCUUUAUCCCAGGAAGCAUCUGUGUUACAAACUCUGUAUUCGAUCCUUGAGUUCCUUCGGUGGUCAAGUCGAGGUUUUCUUCUCGAAAAUCAGUACAUUCCUGGCUGUCCAAAUAGCCCAGAGGAUCCAUGGCAGGAUGUUAGAGGUUACUCCCAAAGGAGGGAGGCAUAUGAUCUUCCUAAACAACACAAGUGCUUCUGCCACAUCUGCAAUUGUCGCGACAUCUAUGUCCGGUGAUAUGCCGAUGCUCUUCCACACUCUCAGUGCAAAAUCGCACCUGAAGAAAAUGUUCUCUCCAAGUGGAAUAGCUUUCUGUAUCAGAGACCAGAGGAAGGUCUUCAUCUUGGGAGAGCAGUCGCCUCCCCACACAUCUUUGAUCCAGGCAAAGGCUUGUUGUGAGCUGCUUAGAGUCUGGUCCAGUGUAGGUUGUUUGGGUCCUCGGAGCGAAAGGUAGCCCGACUUCACCGAGUAUUCUCCACUGCUUGUUGGGUACCAGACAUAGCCAUCUUCUGCCACUGCAGCGCUUGGGUUUAUGCUGAGGAUCAGUGGAGCUAGACCAGGGAGUGUUUCCUCCACCCGCUUUCGAUUCCAACUUAGAUCCGAUGUCAGUAAAUCCGAGACCCUGAGAUCACUCAUGUCUUCUAUGAUGGGACCGUAAGUUUCCCCAGGUUAGGAACCAGAAGGUCUCUCCCGUGGAGUAUACCUCUCCAUCCGUGGGAGCAUGAGGCUACUGCAGAAGUCUCCAAGAAGCCUUUGUUUCUGCAAUACUUUCCGGAAAAAGGAAGCAGGACAUACAUUAUGUAGGGAUGGCUUGUAGGAUGAACUUGAGCAUGGUCAUCUUUCCUGCUUUUGAGAGUCGCCUAGUAGCCAGACUUGAGGCCCGCUGUCUUAUUCUAUCCACAAUCGACGUGAAUAGGUCUUUUUUGCGGCGUCCGAAGUGCUCAGGCAGACCAAGUUCGUACUCGUUGAGGAUUCGAGCCAGAGUGGAGCAGCUCUCGUUUCAUAAUUCUAAAAAAAUUGCUUAACGAUGGAAAAUAACCGACUCAGACAAGGUAAUUAAAGAUCAAGAGAUAAACUGUGUAAGCAGUCAAAACCGAUACAUUAAUUAAAGACAAGUCCACAAAAAAAACAUUAAUAAAAAGAUUAACCCAAAACAUUCAAC